UACGUAGGGGGCUAGCGUUGUCCGGAAUCAUUGGGCGUAAAGCGCGUGUAGGCGGCCCGGUAAGUCCGCUGUGAAAGUCGGGGGCUCAACCCUCGGAUGCCGGUGGAUACUGUCGGGCUCGAGUACGGAAGAGGCGAGUGGAAUUCCUGGUGUAGCGGUGAAAUGCGCAGAUAUCAGGAGGAACACCAAUUGCGAAGGCGCCACUCUGGGCCGAAACUGACGCUGAGGAGCGAAAGCGUGGGUAGCAAACAGG
rnacentral:rRNA from 1 species